AAUCAACGCUGGCGGCGUGCCUAACACAUGCAAGUCGAACGAGAAGGUGACUUCGGUCACUGGAUAGUGGCGUCCGGGUGAGUAACACGUAGGUAAUCUACCUUCGGGUGGGGAAUAACGUCUCGAAAGAGACGCUAAUACCGCAUAAUGCAGCGGCACCUAAUGGUGAUUAGUUGUUAAAGCGGGGGAUCUUCGGACCUCGCGCCUGAAGAGGAGCCUGCGCAGAUUAGCUAGUUGGUGAGGUAAUGGCUCACCAAGGCUUCGAUCUGUAGCUGGUCUGAGAGGACGGCCAGCCACACUGGCACUGACACACGGGCCAGACUCCUACGGGAGGCAGCAGUGGGGAAUUUUGGGCAAUGGGCGAAAGCCUGACCCAGCAACGCCGCGUGAAGGAGGAAAUCCUUCGGGAUGUAAACUUCG
rnacentral:rRNA from 1 species